GCCAAAUGUCAUGUUAUGCCCUGACACACUACAGUCACCAUUCAGCAGGACCAGGAUCAUGUCCAUCGGAUUUCCAAAAUCACAGCACUGACUGCACUGCUUUUCCUCUCCCAGCGCUAGAAAGUCCCUGCUUUAAAGAAGAAAUGGGAUCUCAUCGGUCCUGGAGAUUUAGUCCAGCAUGCAUCUCCCUGUCACCACUGAGAGCUCUGUCUACACAAUGGCCUUGAGCCCUGCCCAGCCCUGGACUCUGCAUGACUAAAAGCACCAAGCUCAGCCCUGCCCUGUCCUCUGUCACACUGGAAGCAAGCAGAGCUGCUGUGAGCUGACUCUCUGGGGACAAGACCAGGAGAGGGGCCAAGACCUUGCCACUGGAAUAAAGGCUGAGCCGCCCACUCUGGGCUGUUUGGGGAGAAAACAGCUCGUGUCCGAUUCAAUCAGGAGACCAGGGAUGGCAUCCGAAAGCCGUAGCUGGAACCAAACUGUAGGACUCACCCACCUAGAGAAAGGACUUUUAUCCUGAGAGCAGAUGUCCUUCUUUCCAAUGAAAUACAAAUCUCCUAGGAAGGAGGCACUAA